AGCGAACGCUGGCGGCAGGCCUAACACAUGCAAGUCGAACGAACCUUUCGGGGUUAGUGGCGGACGGGUGAGUAACACGUGGGAACGUGCCUUUAGGUUCGGAAUAACUCAGGGAAACUUGUGCUAAUACCGAAUGUGCCCUGCGGGGGAAAGAUUUAUCGCCUUUAGAGCGGCCCGCGUCUGAUUAGCUAGUUGGUUGAGGUAAUGGCGCACCAAGGCGACGAUCAGUAGCUGGUCUGAGAGGAUGAUCAGCCACAUUGGGACUGAGACACGGCCCAAACUCCUACGGGAGGCAGCAGUGGGGAAUCUUGCGCAAUGGGCGAAAGCCUGACGCAGCCAUGCCGCGUGAAUGAUGAAGGUCUUAGGAUUGUAAAAUUCUUUCACCGGGGACGAUAAUGACGGUACCCGGAGAAGAAGCCCCGGCUAACUUCGUG
rnacentral:rRNA from 1 species